GCGAAUCUCGAAAGCCUGUCUCAGUUCGGAUUGGAGGCUGAAACCCGCCUCCAUGAAGUUGGAUUCGCUAGUAAUCGCGCAUCAGCCAUGGCGCGGUGAAUACGUUCCCGGGCCUUGUACACACCGCCCGUCAAGCCAUGGAAGCUGGGGGUGCCUGAAGUUCGUGACCGGAAGGAGCGACCUAGGGCAAAACCGGUGACUGGGGCUAAGUCGUAACAAGGUAGC
rnacentral:rRNA from 1 species